rnacentral:rRNA from 1 species
AUGAGCCAUGUGGUGUCCUCGUGUUGGGAACCCGGUGGCAGGUACUCAGCCCGGUCUGCCUAUGCAGCGAAAUUCGCUGGCAGAGAGGUGUCAGCUACGGCGCAGUUUACGUGGAAGUCCAGAGCGCCGCUGCGCUGCCGCUUCUUCCUAUGGCUUGCCAUGAAGAAUAGGUGUUGGACAGCGGAUCAGCUGGCUCGGCGAGGGCUGCCCCACAAUGAUACUUGCCCUUUCUGCGACCAAGAAGAAGAAACCUUGAAUCACAUUGUGCUAACUUGCGUCUUUGCUCGGACAAUCUGGAGAACUAUAUGCACCACGAUAGGCAAGCCUGCAUGGACACCUGCAUGGCACGACACUCUGGCUGUUUGGUGCGCAGAUAAGCCGAAGAACAUGCGCGUCACCAUCUCCUUGUCCUAUGGGAAAUCUAGAAGCAUCGCAACGCCAUUGUAUUUGAUGGCGCCUCUCCCUCAUUAG